GCUUAGUAAUAAACUAAAAUAAUUCAAAAACAAAAUUAUUCGCCAGAGGACUACUAGCCAUUGCUUAAAACUCAAAGGACUUGGCGGUGCCCUAGACCCACCUAGAGGAGCCUGUUCUAUAAUCGAUAAACCCCGAUAAACCCGACCUUAUCUUGCCAAUACAGCCUAUAUACCGCCAUCGUCAGCUAACCUUUAAAAAGAACUAUAGUAGGCAAAAUCAUCUUACAUAAAAACGUUAGGUCAAGGUGUAGCGUAUGAUAAGGAAAGUAAUGGGCUACAUUCUCUACUAUUAGAGCAUAACGAAUCACAUUAUGAAAAUAAAGUGCUUGAAGGAGGAUUUAGUAGUAAAUUAAGAGUAGAGAGCUUAAUUGAAUUAGGCAAUAGGGCGCGC
rnacentral:rRNA from 1 species